CCUACGGGAGGCAGCAGUAAGGAAUAUUGGUCAAUGGGCGCAAGCCUGAACCAGCCAUGCCGCGUGCAGGAAGACGGCCCUAUGGGUUGUAAACUGCUUUUGAACAAGAGAAAACCUCGGUACGUGUACCGAGCUGAUAGUAUUGUUAGAAUAAGCAUCGGCUAACUUCGUGCCAGCAGCCGCGGUAAGACGAAGGAUGCAAGCGUUAUCCGGAUUCAUUGGGUUUAAAGGGUGCGUAGGCGGCCUGAUAAGUCAGUGGUGAAAUCUCUCAGCUUAACUGAGAAACCGCCAUUGAUACUGUCGGGCUUGAGUACAGAUGAUGUGGGCGGAAUAUGACAUGUAGUGGUGAAAUACUUAGAUAUGUCAUAGAACACCGAUUGCGAAGGCAGCUCACAAAACUGUAACUGACGCUGAGGCACGAAAGUGCGGGGAUCAAACAGGAUUAGAUACCCUGGUAGUCCGCACCGUAAACGAUGAUUACUCGUUGUUGGCAAUAUGACCGUCAGCGACCAACGACGAAGACGAUAAGUAAGUACCACCCGUACGGGAGGUACGGACCCGGCCGAACCGGUACGGAAACGUAACGAAACGGAAAGUUAGGUACGGACGUAGAGGACGACGGCCGACGGACGACGACGAGGGGAGGUAGG
rnacentral:rRNA from 1 species